rnacentral:rRNA from 1 species
UACGAAGGGGGCUAGCGUUGCUCGGAAUUACUGGGCGUAAAGCGCACGUAGGCGGACUCUUAAGUCGGUGGUGAAAUCCUGGAGCUCAACUCCAGAACUGCCUUCGAUACUGGGAGUCUUGAGUCCGGGAGAGGUGAGUGGAACUGCGAGUGUAGAGGUGAAAUUCGUAGAUAUUCGCAAGAACACCAGUGGCGAAGGCGGCUUGCCAGAACGCGCUCGACGGUGAGGGAUGAAAGCUGGGGGAGCAAACCGG